AACGAACGCUGGCAGCGUGGAUUAGGCAUGCAAGUCGAACGGGAUCCGGAAGGUAGCAAUACCGGCCGGUGAGAGUGGCGGAAGGGCGAGGAGCACGUGGACAACCUGUCCCGUGGGUGGGGAUACCGUCCCGAAAGGGGCGUUAAUACCGAAUGGGGCCCCGGACCGCAUGGUCCGGCGGCCAAAGGCGGGGACCGCAAGGCCCGCCCCCCCGGGAGGGGUCCGCGCACCAUCAGCUAGACGGCGGGGUAACGGCCCACCGUGGCUUACGGUUAGCUGGUCUGAGAGGACGACCAGCCGCACGGGGACUGAGACACUGCCCAGACUCCUACGGGAGGCUGCAGUCGAGGAUCAUUCGCAAUGGGCGAAAGCCUGACGAUGCGACGCUGCGUGGAGGAUGAAGGCCCUCGGGUCGUAAACUCCUGUCAUGGGGGGCGAGGCGGAGGCGGUUAACGGCCGCCCGAGUUGACGGUACCCCAAGAGGAAGCCACGGCUAACUCUGUG
rnacentral:rRNA from 1 species